UUGUAUCCUGAGAACUACAAGUUUGAUAUUGAUUUAUGCACCCACUGUCAAUGUCAUAGAGGAUCAGUCACUUGUAAAUCUGAUGUUUGUCCUCAGUUGACAUGUUUGAAAAAGUUUAGGGCAGUCGGCCAGUGUUGUCAAGAGUGUCCCACUUGUUCAGUUGGUGAUCGGCUUGUUGGCCAUAAUGAGCUGGUUAUGAUCAAUGUGUGUCGUCGAUGCUUGUGUUAUGACGGGGAGCUAUCACAAUGUCGGACUCGACAGUGUCGUCCAUUGCCAUGUCGGCUGGAAGCACAGUAUCGACCAGCAGGACGAUGCUGCAAUGUCUGCAGACAAUGUGAUUAUGAAGGCAGACGAUUUGACCAUGGUGAAGUUAUUAUUCCAAGAAAUGACGUAUGUGCAAGGUGUUCUU